rnacentral:lncRNA from 1 species
CCGUGGGAUCUUCACUGCAGUGCACAUUCUCUGGCUGUGGCGUGGGGGGCUCAAUAGUUGCGCUGCUCCGGCUUAGUUGCUCCGUGGGAUCUUAGUUCCCUGACCAAGGAUCGAACCCAAGUCCCCUGCAUCGCAAGGCAGAGUCUUAACCGCUGGACCGGCAGGAGAUCCCCCAGAGAUCCAUCUUGGAUGGGGAGAGGGAAAUGCAUUUGAUGAGGAAAGAAAGCGUGGACAGAGUGCUUCGGCCGGAUAGAUCUCAGCAGGAUCUGAAAAGCUUGAGUUGUUGCAAGACUGCAAGAGAGUCCGAGCGAGCAGAUUUUUCCAGUUGCUUCUGGGGGCAGCCGAGUGAGUCCCGGGGUCACAUGCCUGAGCAUCCACUUCUUGGAAUGAGGGCCAGCUGCUGGACAGCCGGCGGCUCUGGAGUGAGGGGCGCCCGCUGUGUGCGGGAAAGAGAAAACCCCACCGGCCUCGCUGGCUUUACAUUCCUCUGCGUGCUGCCAAAGGGAGGCAGAAAGGGGAGCGGAAAUUCCUUUUUCUUCAAAGGUUUUUCUCUCAGGGGAAUCUUUGUCCCUGUAAAUAAGUGAGGAUGAUCUUUUAAGCACUGAGUUAUCAGAGGUUAGACAUCCCACGGAGGAUUAGACAUCUGAAAUCCUAUCAAUGUAGUCAUGGCGACCACAUGCUUUUCUAAAUCUUUGCUGGAAUGUAGUUCUGUAGCUGCGCCUGUGCCUUCUGAAGCCCAGACACUCAUCACAGAGGAAGCAAAUUAAGAUGAAUCAUAUCUAGUGUGUCAAUAACAGUAAGUGGACUAAGUAGCAUCGUUUCUAAAACACGACAGAAUCACAAAGCUGAACCCGACCGUAGGCUGAGAAAGAGACACGGGAAAACAAAGUGACUCAUAGGGGUUGAAUGUAAAGAAUGGGAAAGUCAGGGCAGGCAAAAAGUAAGUUAAAACACAGUAUGAAUCUUCGUCCUUGUAUCAAAGUUAAAGUAUUUGAAGAGCAUUAAAUGAAACAAAGAGGGUACUUCACUGUUUUAAAUCACAUUUAAGGGCUAACGAAUAGGUCCUGAGGCCUCUGGCUCUGGGAAGAUUGUUUUCCUUUUUGUUUUCUUUCUUUUUUUUUUAAAUCCAGCACUUUGGCGUAAACAAAUUAGAAUUUGUUGAGAGUUUUGAAAAACCAGGGGAUUUAAAGUUUAAAAAAAAAACUCCAUUAUUUCUAGUUUUUCUUGUAAAAUUAGAACAUCUGAUCGAGGUGGGAAUUGCCAAACUCUGUCCUGGGAGCCAAAUCCAGUUCACCAUCCUAAGAAAUUCACACCAAAAGAGUCUUUGCCAAGACCCAGGAGACUGGAACUCCAAGACCCAGAACAGCCAACCUCCAGAAACGUGAAGACAAAGAAAACGAACAAACAAACCCUUGAAAACAGCAAGAGAGACGUAGUACCUUAACUACGGCUUCUUACUGGAAACGACGGAAGCCAGGAGGAAGUGGCAUAAUAUUUUUCAUGUGCUGAAAUAAACGAGCUAUAAAUUCUGCA